rnacentral:rRNA from 1 species
UUACCAGGGUUUGACAUAGCAGUAGUAGAGAAGCGAAAGCGGACGACCUUCGGGGAGCUGUUACAGGUGUUGCAUGGCUGUCGUCAGCUCGUGUCGUGAGAUGUUCGGUUAAGUCCGCUAACGAGCGCAACCCACGUUGUGUGUUACAAGUGUCACACAAUACCGCCGGUAUUAAGUCGGAGGAAGGUGCGGAUGACGUCAAGUCAGCAUGACCUUUAUAUCCAGGGCUACACACACGCUACAAUGGUCGGCACAAUAGGUUGCCAAGUCGUGAGACGGAGCCAAUCCUCCAAAGCCGGCCUCAGUUCAGAUUGCAGGCUGCAACUCGCCUGCAUGAAGUUGGAGUUGCUAGUAAACGCAGGUCAGCUAUACUGCGUUGAAUACGUUCCCGGGCCUU